rnacentral:misc_RNA from 1 species
UUAAGUUCAGCGGGUAUCCCUACCUGAUCCGAGGUCAACCUGGUGUGUGAGGGGCUUGCUGGCCGGCCGCCGCCCGAGCCCGACAAGCGACGAGUAGUACUACGCUUGAGACCGGACGGGGCCGCCACUGCUUUUGAGGCGGGCCAUGGAUGGCGGGCCCAAGACCAAGCCGGGGCUUGAGGGUUGUAAUGACGCUCGAA